rnacentral:rRNA from 1 species
UAGGGAAUCUUCCACAAUGGACGCAAGUCUGAUGGAGCAACGCCGCGUGAGUGAAGAAGGUUUUCGGAUCGUAAAGCUCUGUUGUUGGUGAAGAAGGAUAGAGGCAGUAACUGGUCUUUAUUUGACGGUAAUCAACCAGAAAGUCACGGCUAACUACGUUCCAGCAGCCGCGGUAAUACGUAGGUGGCAAGCGUUGUCCCGAAUUAUUGGGCGUAAAGCGAGCGCAGGCGGAAUGAUAAGUCUGAUGUGAAAGCCCACGGCUCAACCGUGGAACUGCAUCGGAAAAUGUCAUUCUUGAGUGCAGAGGAGGAGAGUGGAAUUCCAUGUGUAGCGGUGGAAUGCGUAGAUAUAUGGAAGAACACCAGUGGCGAAGGCGGAUCUCUGGUCUGCAACUGACGCUGAGGCUCGAAAGCAUGGGUAGCGAACAGG